AGAUGUGAAGAUGACCUGGUGGGAGCCUCUUUCCACAUUGAUAAUCAGGGUUUAUUCAGUUGGUCUGACUGUCCAGACUGGGCUGCUCCUUUCUUACCAUUCCAGGUAAGUUCCUCCUGAAACGCACUCCCAGGAGAAAAGGUUGACCUUCUUGGAAGAAGGUGGCUUUGCUCCUUGCCAGUGGGAGAACCAUCUUUAUGAAACUCUGACUGACCACUGUAUCUGGAAAGGAAUGCCCAAUUCUCCAAAUCUCUUGGAAGUUUCUUG
rnacentral:sRNA from 1 species